GACGAACGCUGGCGGCGUGCCUAACACAUGCAAGUCGAACGGAACUUUUUUAAAAGAUUUCUUCGGAAUGAAUUUGAUUAAGUUUAGUGGCGGACGGGUGAGUAACGCGUGAGUAACCUGCCUCUAAGAGGGGAAUAACAUUCUGAAAAGAAUGCUAAUACCGCAUAAUAUAUAUUUAUCGCAUGGUAGAUAUAUCAAAGAUUUAUCGCUUAGAGAUGGACUCGCGUCCGAUUAGUUAGUUGGUGAGGUAACGGCUCACCAAGACCGCGAUCGGUAGCCGGACUGAGAGGUUGAACGGCCACAUUGGGACUGAGACACGGCCCAGACUCCUACGGGAGGCAGCAGUGGGGGAUAUUGCGCAAUGGGGGAAACCCUGACGCAGCAACGCCGCGUGAAGGAUGAAGGUCUUCGGAUUGUAAACUUCUUUUAUUAAGGACGAAGAAAGUGACGGUACUUAAUGAAUAAGCUCCGGCUAACUACGUGC
rnacentral:rRNA from 1 species